rnacentral:snRNA from 1 species
AUACUUACUGGCGCGGGGAUACCGUGAUCAAGAAGGCUGGCUGCCUCGCAGGACGAGGCCUGUACAUUGCACUCCGUAUGGGCUGAUCCUGCGACUACCCCAAAUCGGAGGUGGCUCGAGCGCCAUAAUUUUGGUAGCUGGCUCAGCGACAAGCGUCUCGCGCUGCCUCCUU